AUUUGCAUUCACUUGUUAUAUUAUUUAUUUAUUUUAGUUUUCAUCUUGCAGAUGUUCCCAAGCUUUGUUUGAAUCUUCAUUUUGUUUUCUAUUAUGCUUAUUUAUAUUUUGAUAUUUCUUUGCUAGUUGAUUUUCUGGCAUUUCAGGAACUUGUUACUGCUUGGGUUGUCAUCUUGGCUUGCCUUGUCCAUGGGUUUGUUAUAGUCUUAGUUGCUAGUGAAGCUUAUGCAAUAACUCUGGCUGUUGAGGGUUUGUUAGGAGUUGUGUUUACAGUGGCUGCAUUAACAGAUGAAGCAAUGGAUGUUGGUGAGGUACUUUGACCGCGAUGUUGAAUGUGUCUUCAAGUUCUUUAGAAAGAGGUUCAGAUCACUUCCAGGACUUGUCAACCAGACCCAAAGGGAUAUCAUAGAAUGUG